rnacentral:rRNA from 1 species
AGCUUGCUCUCGGGUGACGAGCGGCGGACAGGUGAGUAAUGUCUGGGAAACUGCCUGAUGGAGGGGGAUAACUACUGGAAACGGUAGCUAAUACCGCAUAACGUCGCAAGACCAAAGUGGGGGACCUUCGGGCCUCAUGCCAUCACAUGUGCCCAGAUGGGAUUAGCUAGUAGGUGGGGUAACGGCUCACCUAGGCGACAAUCCCUAGCUGGUCUGAGAGGAUGACCAGCCACACUGGAACUGAGACACGGUCCACACUCCUACGGGAGGCAGCAGUGGGGAAUAUUGCACAAUGGGCGCAAGCCUGAUGCACCCAUGCCGCGUGUGUGAAAAAGGCCUUCGGGUUGUAAAGCACUUUCAGCGGGGAGGAAGGCGGUGAGGUUAAUAACCUCUUCGAUUGACGUUACCCGCAGAAAAAACACCGGCUAACUCCGUGCCACCAGCCGCGGUAAUACAGAGGGUGCAAGCGUUAAUCUGAAUUACUGGGCGUAAAGCGCACGCACGCGGUCUGUCAAGUCUGAUGUGAAAUCCCCGGGCUCAACCUGGGAACUGCAUUCUAAACUGGGAGGCUAUAGUCUUGUAUAGGGGGGUAGAAUUCCCGGUGUAUCGGUGAAAUGCGUAUAGAUCUGGAGGAAUACCGGUGGCGAAAGCGGCCCCCUGGACAAAGACUGAGGCUCACGUGCGAAAGCGUGUGGAGCAAACAGGAUUAUAUACCCUGGGAGUCCACGCCGUAAACGAUGUCUAUUUGGAGGUUGUGCCCUUGAGGCGUGGCUUCCGGA